rnacentral:rRNA from 1 species
AACGUAGGACGCAAGCGUUAUCCGGAGUUACUGGGCGUAAAGCGCGUGCAGGCGGCUCGAAACGUCUGAUGUGAAAUCUCCUCGCUCAACGGGGAGAGGCCAUUGGAAACGGUCGAGCUGGAGGGCAGUAGAGGUAGGCGGAAUUCCACGUGUAGCAGUGAAAUGCGUAGAGAUGUGGAGGAACACCGAUGGCGAAGGCAGCCCCCUGGGUCAACACUGACGCUCAUGCACGAAAGCGUGGGGAGCAAACAGG